rnacentral:SRP_RNA from 1 species
GCCAGGUGUGGUGGUGCAUGCCUGUAGUCCCAGCUACUCAGGAAGCUGAGGCAGGAGGAUGGCUUGAGCCCAGGAGUUCGAGGCUGCAGUGAGCUAUGAUCACAUAUACCACUGCACUCCAGCCUGGGCAACAGAGUGAGACCCUGCUUCAA